AAAAACUCCGGUGGUACAGGAUGGUCCCGCGUCUGAUUAGCCAGUUGGCAGGGUAACGGCCUACCAAAGCGACGAUCAGUAGCCGGCCUGAGAGGGUGAACGGCCACAUUGGGACUGAGACACGGCCCAAACUCCUACGGGAGGCAGCAGUGGGGAAUAUUGCACAAUGGGGGAAACCCUGAUGCAGCGACGCCGCGUGAGUGAAGAAGUAUUUCGGUAUGUAAAGCUCUAUCAGCAGGGAAGAAAAUGACGGUACCUGACUAAGAAGCCCCGGCUAACUACGUGCCAGCAGCCGCGGUAAUACGUAGGGGGCAAGCGUUAUCCGGAUUUACUGGGUGUAAAGGGAGCGUAGACGGCAUGACAAGCCAGAUGUGAAAACCCAGGGCUCAACCCUGGGACUGCAUUUGGAACUGCCAGGCUGGAGUGCAGGAGAGGUAAGCGGAAUUCCUAGUGUAGCGGUGAAAUGCGUAGAUAUUAGGAGGAACACCAGUGGCGAAGGCGGCUUACUGGACUGUAACUGACGUUGAGGCUCGAAAGCGUGGGGAGCAAACAGGAUUAGAUACCCUGGUAGUCCACGCGGUAAACGAUGAUUGCUAGGUGUAGGU
rnacentral:rRNA from 1 species